rnacentral:lncRNA from 1 species
GUCUGUGUCAUUUUGGUCUCUUGUGGACAGUUGUCUCAUUGGCAAUCAUACCAUAUCUUCUUUUUUAUAUGUUCGGGAUAUCUAGGUUGGCAUGUCAAAUAUUCACCUCAACAUGUCUGAUAUUUAAGUUGACUUGUUAGAUAUUGAAGUCGAUGGAGUACAUAAUUGUGUCACCAUACUAAACAAUAACAAGCAAAAAAAAA